UGCAAGUCGAACGAGAAAUUUCGCCUUCGGGCGGGAGAGUAAAGUGGCGCACGGGUGAGUAACGCGUGGGUAACCUACCCCUGAAUCUGGGAUAACCUCGUGAAAACGUGGCUAAUACCGGAUACCAUUUUUUUGGCUUUGGCCGUUGAAACGAAAGGUGACCUCUUCUUGAAAGUUGCCGUUCAGGGAUGGGCCCGCGUCCCAUUAGCUAGUUGGUAGGGUAAUGGCCUACCAAGGCAACUAUGGGUAGCUGGUCUGAGAGGAUGAUCAGCCACACUGGCACUGGAACACGGGCCAGACUCCUACGGGAGGCAGCAGUGAGGAAUUUUGCGCAAUGGGGGAAACCCUGACGCAGCAACGCCGCGUGAGUGACGAAGGCCUUCGGGUCGUAAAGCUCUGUCAAGUGGGAAAAAAAGCCCAAUGUCAACAGCAUUGGGAACUGAUGGUACCACUGAAGGAAGCACCGGCUAACUCCGUGCCAGCAGCCGCGGUAAUACGGAGGGUGCAAGCGUUGUUCGGAAUUACUGGGCGUAAAGCGCGUGUAGGCGGGACAGUAAGUCAGAUGUGAAAGCCCUGGGCUCAACCCAGGAAGUGCAUUUGAAACUGCUAUCCUUGAGUAUGGGAGAGGAGAGUGGAAUUCCGAGUGUAGAGGUGAAAUUCGUAGAUAUUCGGAGGAACACCCGUGGCGAAGGCGGCUCUCUGGACCAAUACUGACGCUGAGACGCGAAAGCGUGGGGAGCAAACAGGAUUAGAUACCCUGGUAGUCCACGCCGUAAACGAUGAGAACUAGGUGUAGCGGGUAUUG
rnacentral:rRNA from 1 species